CACCAGUGUGUUGGUCUCUGCCUCAGUUAAGGUCCUCUUCUGCUCUCUGCUUCCCCCUUCCCCCAUCUUCCCUCCUCCCCCUCCACCUGUUUCUCACUAUUUCCCCUCCCACCUCACCCCCAAAGGCUCCUUUCCAGAUUCCAGACCUGGAGGACUUGGGCAGUGCCUGGCCCAGCCCAGGACACUUGCUGCAGUCUGAGGCUCUCCACCCUGGUUGCACCAUUGGCAGUGCUUCUGGGGCUGGAAAGAAAUAAGUGCGAGUGCCCUGUACUGCGUGCACCUAAGAUGCAGGUCUGGGCGAGUCCAGGAAUCUGCAGUAACAGCCAGUGGUACUACUGAUGCAUGGCCUUGGUUGAUGGGCUGCUCUCUGAUGUUGCUAGGUUUCCUUAACUUAGGGCUAUAUGAAGAAGAAAUAAAAGGAUGCGUCUAGAAUCACAGUGCUGAUACCGUGGAAAGAACUAAUGCACUCAGGAGGCCUACUUGGGAUUCUUCCCUCAGCUUCACCACGUAAUUGAUGUAAAACAUUGUGGACUUUAAAGGUGUACAACAUGAUGGUUCGAUACAGGUAUUUAUUGUGAAAUGGCUGCCACAAUAAGACAGAGAAAGAGAGAGAGAGAGAGAGCGCGCGCACAAGCAGGGGCAGAGGCAGAGGGAGAAGCAGGCUCCCAGCUCAGCCCAAGCACCUGGAACUGAAAGCCGUAGAACGCAGUUGACAAGACUUUCCUCCCAGUGAGAGACUGAUGGAAGGUAUUAUCAUCACCGUCAUCACCAUCACCAUUAUCAUCUUCACAGCAAACUCUGUGUGCCAGGCCCCUCCAAUUGCUCCAUCACACCUCAUCCUCACAGUGAUGCUGGGAGGUCUGAGCUGCCUUUCCAAACCACUCACUUAACAAGAGGAGAUUUCAUGCUCUGGAAAAGACACCUGAGGUGUCAUUUAUUUAUUCAUGAGAAUCCCACAGAGAGAGGCAGAGACAAAGGCAGCAGGAG